ensembl:lncRNA
UUCCGCUGCUCUCGUUUCACCCUGCCGACUUUUACGAUGCGCUGUCUGCGGAACUCGCUCUGAACACGGCGUCAAAUUCUGAAAUGUGGUUUGCCAAGAAGCCCAUCCGUUGACGAAACCUAACGUAUCGACGACGAGUUCAAACUACGACUUUUUCUCCAGGUGUUUUGCGGAAAAUCGUGAGUUGAACCGUGAAGCCUCGUUUACUUAAAAGAGAUCAGUGAUAUCUCUCGUCAUCAUGGUUACUGCAUCUCCUUUUAACUUUACAGAGGUCGCACCAACACCCAUGACUCCAGCCCAGCCUAGCGCCGCUGUCAUAGGAGGUAAGUUCUUUCUCAGAAAAAAAGGUUUUAUUUUGCUAUACUGUAGUUUUUUUGU